rnacentral:rRNA from 1 species
CACGCCGUAAACGAUGAGUGCUAGGUGUUAGGGGGUUUCCGCCCCUUAGUGCUGAAGUUAACGCAUUAAGCACUCCGCCUGGGGAGUACGGCCGCAAGGCUGAAACUCAAAAGAAUUGACGGGGGCCCGCACAAGCGGUGGAGCAUGUGGUUUAAUUCGAAGCAACGCGAAGAACCUUACCAGGUCUUGACAUCCCAUUGACCGCUAUGGAGACAUAGUUUCCCCUUCGGGGGCAAUGGUGACAGGUGG